GCUAACGUAGCUUAAUUUAAAGCAUGGCACUGAAGAUGCUAAGAUGGGAAAUGAAAUUUUCCGUAAGCA
rnacentral:tRNA from 1 species